GUAAAAAAUUCGCCCUCGUUGAUUAAAAUAAGAAGACAACCACUUAAAUUUUGCCCUCUUUAAUCAUACUUGGUGUUACCGCACUCUACAGCAACCAGAAAUCCUUCACCCAAAAUGAUAAACUCUGGAAAUUUUCAUUCGUUUUCCCCCAAAAUCCUUUGCAGAGUUCGACCUAUUGGAUUCUGCUCAAAUUGCUCUCUCUCUCUCCUCUAAAUCUCCAACCAAAAACCUUCACAAGUUAUCCAGUAAACCCUAAUUUAAUCGAAAACUGGUCGAAUUGCUCAACUCGUUUGCUGCUCAGUUCGUAAGCUUAAUAAUUUGUUCGAAUAUUCCCCGAUUCUAUUGAAUUUAGGUCUCAACGUGUUUCUAUGAUUUGAUUGAAACAUCUAUUGAAGGUUUUGUUGAAUAUUAUGCAUUUUUACAGGUGAUUUCAGGUUCAAUAAUUGCAACUUUAAGUCGGGAACGAUUUAUGCCGCAAAAUCUGAAAUGGAGAAUGUUCCAACUUAAUGUUCUUCCUAAGGGAACCUGCUGGUUAGUUUAUGAAUCUACUAAACUUAAACCCCCGAUUCAAGGAGAAAUACAGGUUAUGGAAUCAGAGAUUUAAAAUUCCAAUAAACAGGUACUUUUAUGCAACUAUAUGUGUAUUAUAAAAGUCUAGGGGAACUCUCAGUUUUGAGCACUUCAGGUUUUGGUCAAAUGGAAAUUUGUGAGUUCAUCCACCAUAAAUUGAUUUUACUUACUUCGACUUUACUCAACUCAACAUCCUUCAGCAAAGAGGGGAUGAUUUUGCGACAUUUUCACCUUUUUAUUUCUUGAUUGAACAGGGCUAUGUACCUACAGAUUUUGAUAACUUCAGUGCUAAUGUUGUUGUUGAUGGUAACACAGUCAACCUAGGGUUAUGGGAUACUGCCGGUCAAGAAGACUACAAUAGAUUGAGAUCUCUGAGCUAUCGUGGAGCUGAUGAAUUUAUUUUAGCGUUCUCAUUGAUUAGCAAGGCUAGAAAUGUUGCCAAAAAAGUGAGGACUACAUCAUAACUUUGUUCUUUCCUGAAAUUAGGUACUUAUAAAAUAUCAAUUCUUGAUGUUAUGCUAUUUAAAAUUAGCUCAUUGAUUUCAAAAUUUCUAUUUCAGUGGAUUCCUAAGCUGAGGCACUAUGCACCUGGUGUUCCAAUAAUUCUCGUUGGAACAAAACUAGGUACGACCUUAUGCCACAGUAUUUUUUUUGUAAAGAUCUCUAUAUAACUACUUAUGUUAUGCGAUUGGUUGCAUUGACUA